rnacentral:rRNA from 1 species
AUUGAACGCUGGCGGCAUGCCUUACACAUGCAAGUCGAACGGUAACAGGUCUUCGGAUGCUGACGAGUGGCGAACGGGUGAGUAAUACAUCGGAACGUGCCCAGACGUGGGGGAUAACGAGGCGAAAGCUUCGCUAAUACCGCAUACGAUCUAAGGAUGAAAGCAGGGGACCGCAAGGCCUUGCGCGUUUGGAGCGGCCGAUGGCAGAUUAGGUAGUUGGUGGGAUAAAAGCUUACCAAGCCGACGAUCUGUAGCUGGUCUGAGAGGACGACCAGCCACACUGGGACUGAGACACGGCCCAGACUCCUACGGGAGGCAGCAGUGGGGAAUUUUGGACAAUGGGCGAAAGCCUGAUCCAGCAAUGCCGCGUGCAGGAUGAAGGCCUUCGGGUUGUAAACUGCUUUUGUACGGAACGAAAAGGCUCUGGCUAAUACCUGGGGCACAUGACGGUACCGUAAGAAUAAGCACCGGCUAACUACGUG